AGUGAACGCUGGCGGUAGGCCUAACACAUGCAAGUCGAACGGCAGCACAGUAAGAGCUUGCUCUUACGGGUGGCGAGUGGCGGACGGGUGAGGAAUACAUCGGAAUCUACUUUUUCGUGGGGGAUAACGUAGGGAAACUUACGCUAAUACCGCAUACGACCUACGGGUGAAAGCAGGGGAUCUUCGGACCUUGCGCGAUUGAAUGAGCCGAUGUCGGAUUAGCUAGUUGGCGGGGUAAAGGCCCACCAAGGCGACGAUCCGUAGCUGGUCUGAGAGGAUGAUACGCCACACUGGAGCUGAGACACGGUCCAGACUCCUACGGGAGGCAGCAGUGGGGAAUAUUGGACAAUGGGCGCAAGCCUGAUCCAGCCAUACCGCGUGGGUGAAGAAGGCCUUCGGGUUGUAAAGCCCUUUUGUUGGGAAAGAAAAGCAGCAGGUUAAUACCCCGCUGCUCUGACGGUACCCAAAGAAUAAGCACCGGCUAACUUCGUG
rnacentral:rRNA from 1 species